rnacentral:lncRNA from 1 species
UAAUAAUUACAUUACCUUCCAUAUUCCUACAUAUACCUUGUGGGGGAAUACAGGCAUGUGUGAAGUCUACCUGUGUACUGCAUAACUUCAUGAGGAUGGACACGAGGACCAGGAAGGGACCUGCAAUUCUCCGCUGUGUGCCAGAGGAUGGGAUGGGGGCCAACAAUGCAGCACGGGAGGAAAUCCGUGUGCGGAAGAUCUUCACCUACUACUUCUUCGAAGAGGGUGCUGGUCCCUGGCAACACCAUAAACUACACUAUGCAUAACCAAAAGCUUGUUUAAUCGCCACCCACAACGUAAUAGGAGUAUUCUUUCAUUUACUUAGCUAUGUCAACUGCAGUUAUUCAAUUCCCAGUAUCUCUCGCUUUGAUUUCCUGAUGUUCAGGUAAGGGUGAUGUCUGCACAAAAUCAAAACAGGCUCUUCUAGGAGUCACCCAUAUUGAUUAUUAUUUUUUUUUUACAAUUAGACACCCUACAACCCACACCUACACACUUGUGUGUCAGUCUGAUUGAUGGAUUGUGUUGUUGAGUAAGCAGGCUUGGGUGUAUAACUCUGGCUUCCACCUUCAAAGAAUAGUUAAGAGGACCAACCAUGGAGAAUAAGGUGAGAGGUCACUUGGUCUGGUCAACAGGAAGUAUUAUUAAAGAGACACUUUACAUUGAAAUACAGAUGGAGAUGUAGAAGUCCCAGAGUUAAUGAUACAAGGUAUGUUUUGAUGUGAGAGAAGAUGCCAAGCCCCAGUCCUGUCAUCGCCACCUCACCCGCUCUAAGAUAACCCUCGGG